AGGUGUUCAGCCAGACAACCAUUUGUCGCUUUGAGGCCCUGCAGCAUGUGUAAGCUGCGGCCCCUUCUGAAGAAGUUGGUGGAGGAAGCCACCAACAAGGAGAGAACCCUUAGGAAAUAUGCAAAUCGGAGGCCCUGGUGCAGGCUGGGAGGAGAACUCCUCCAGCAUUGAGAACAAUGUGAGGUGGAGCUUGGAGAACGUGUUUCUGAAGUGCCCGAAGUCCUCCCUGCAGCAGAUCACUAGCAUCGCCAAGCAGCUUGGGCUGGUGAAGGAUGUGGUUCGAGUAUGGUUCUGUAACUGGCACCAGAACGGCAAAAGAUCAAGCACUGAAUAUUCCCAACCAGAAGAGUUUGAGAUACAGGGACACCUUUACUGGGGGGUUGGGGUGGGCGUGGGGGCUGUAUCCUUUCCUCUGCCCCAGGUCCCCACAUUGGCACCCCAGGCUAUGGGAGACCCCACUUCACCACACUCUACUCAGUCCCUUUUCCUGUGGGCGAGGCCUUUCCCUCUGUUCCUGUCACUACCCUGGCUCUCCCAUGCAUUCAGACUGAGGCACCAGCACUCCCUGGGGAUGAUGUGAACUAAGGCAAGGAAGGGAGGUAGACAAGAGAACCCGGAGCUUUGGGGUUAAAUUCUUUUAUUGAGGAGGGAUUAAAAGCACAACAGGGGUGGGCAUGGGAUAAGAAGUCCAGUGAUGCUGUUGAUCAGGAGCUCGUCCAUCACUCAUCA